rnacentral:tRNA from 1 species
UUUAAAGUGGCAGAAGAAUGCGAAGGAUUUAAGCUCCUUGUAUGAUUUAUUCCUUUAAUA